GACGUAGGGCGCGAGCGUUGUCCGGAUUUAUUGGGCGUAAAGAGCUCGUAGGCGGUUUGUCGCGUCUGCUGUGAAAACCUAAGGCUCAACCUUGGGCUUGCAGUGGGUACGGGCAGACUAGAGUGCGGUAGGGGUGACUGGAAUUCCUGGUGUAGCGGUGGAAUGCGCAGAUAUCAGGAGGAACACCGAUGGCGAAGGCAGGUCUCUGGGCCGAUACUGACGCUGAGGAGCGAAAGCGUGGGGAGCGAACAGG
rnacentral:rRNA from 1 species